rnacentral:rRNA from 1 species
UACGAAGGGGGCUAGCGUUGCUCGGAAUCACUGGGCGUAAAGCGCACGUAGGCGGAUUGUUAAGUCAGGGGUGAAAUCCUGGAGCUCAACUCCAGAACUGCCUUUGAUACUGGCGAUCUCGAGCUCGGGAGAGGUGAGUGGAAUUCCCAGUGUAGCGGUGAAAUGCGUAGAUAUUGGGAGGAACACCAGUGGCGAAGGCGGCUCAUUGGACCGGAACUGACGCUGAGGCGCGAAAGCGUGGGGAGCAAACGGG